GUCACUGUUUUAGAGACAUGUAUUGGUAGACAAUGUCCUUUAUUUUUAUUUUUAUUUAUUUUUUUUGACAGUGUCCUUUAAAAAAUGUGGCUUGAAUGGGGAAAAUACUAAAGAUGGCUGAGACAAGAUCCAGAAAGUAACUUGCUCAAGAUCACACGCUGAGCUUGACUCAUCAGUAGCAGCAUCUAGAGCAGAACUCACUUUCCUGGGCAGCUGGUCAUCAGCACGCUUAGCACCUACCGCAGCUCCUAGACGACCUCCCCCUGCUAUCCGUGUCCUCCACUUCUACCAAUCUGUUGCUUUGGAAACUUGGAAUCCAGGAUGCGGUGAUGUCAAGGGCAUCUCGUCUCCUGUACAUAAGGACCCCACAAAUAAUGACGCAGCCUUACUCGCCUGCAGUCGUACUUCUACCACUAGGAGGCAGUGUGGUGCAGCGGGCCGGCCCUAGCCACGCAAGCCGGCAGGAGCCCUAGGAUCGGAGAUCAGGUAUCCAGCCGGAAGCCCACUGCCCUUGGGGAGUAACCUGUUCAUUUCAGCUCUGCCUUGUC
rnacentral:lncRNA from 1 species